rnacentral:rRNA from 1 species
CCCUUAGAUGUUCUGGGCCGCACGCGCGCUACACUGAUGCAUUCAACGAGCCUAUCCUUGACCGACAGGUCCGGGUAAUCUUUGAAUCUGCAUCGUGACGGGGAUAGAUUAUUGCAAUUAUUAAUCUUCAACGAGGAAUGCCUAGUAGGCGCAAGUCAUCGGCUUGCGUCGAUUACGUCCCUGCCCUUUGUACACACCGCCCGUCGCUCCUACCGAUUGGGUGUGCUGGUGAAAUGUUCGGAUCGGCCGUUUGUCGCGGUUUCCGCGUCAUGUGGCUGAGAAGUUCAUUAAACCCUCCCACCUAGAGGAAGGAGAAGUCGUAACA